AUUUCUUUGCUCCAAGUCAAAGGACCCAAGUCCAUUUCUUACUCCUAAAGCAUGACCAAAGUCACAAACUUCUCUUACAAACUUGAAUACUUGGCCUCCAAUUUGUUGACAUCAUACAUGAUGUCAAUAACAUGACCUCAUAAACUUCAUUGACCCCCAAGUUGUUGACAUCAUACAUGAUGUCAAUAGGGCUCUCAAACUUUAUAAAUAGGAUCCAAAGUUCAUCCAUUUUAAGCCAAAAGUCUCUUGCCCUCAAAGCUCCAUCCUUCUUUCUUCUCUCUUCCUCCCAUUUUCGUACUUCUUCAUCCCGUAUAUGUUCCAGGCCAUUUUUCAGCGACUUAUGUUCAUUUUUAGCAUUUUGAUAUUUGAGAUAAAGUUGUUCUUCUCGAAAAAUCCUUGAGGUUAGGCUCAAGAAUCACCCAAUUUGGAGUUAUAUACUAUGAGAUAUGGCCUCUGCAAGAUCUGACUCCUCCUUUUCAACGUGAACCUUUCUACUUUAGGUUGUUUUGCGGGGGAAUUGCAAGUUUGAGAUUAAGAAAUUUGUGUUUGUUGCAAAAGAUCAAGAUAGGUGAUGGCGAUCAGAAGACGUGAAUUAAAUGCUGCAUUGGGGACAAUGGGCGGUGAUCACCUAGUUAAAUUUAGUAGACAUAGUAUCAAUGUUUUAGUUACUUCAGAAAUUUCUUGAACUAUUAUCAUUAUUAUUAUUAAAUGACAAGUAUUUUCUUCCGCUGCAAAUCUCUGUUAAGCCUUACGUAAUCACGUGGCGGUAAUACUCCCAUGUUACUCCCUAAAGUUGG